ACCCAAAAUCCAAUGUCAACCUCGAUUAAGCACGAGUUGACAAAAAGAGCUCUUGAGAGCAUGAUACAAGUGAGCUCCAAUGAGUGGUUUUGCCCGCACACUUCCACUACACAAGACCUCUCAAUGAGAGCACACCGACACUUUGCUAAGGUGACCUCCUUCUACUUGCGCUCUCUUGCUAAAUCCAAUGAACUUCGGCUACGCUUUGAUUGCUCCUUUGCUUUUCUUGUGCUAUUGAUAGGGCUCUCGACAAGUGAAGGAACAUUCAAGCGUUGGUGUCAUCUACCUCCUCUACACAUUCACGAAGACUCAUCGUCGAGGGCGACUCUUUUUCAAGUGGGGGGAGAUGAUGUAGCCCGACCUACGGUCUUCGCUUCAUCAUGGGCAUCAACGUCAAGAACCACACUCAAGGCCGAGGUCACGGAGGCAUGGAAGAGAAGAAGGAAGAAGAGCGUCCGAGGUCGCCUAGGAGACAAGACGCCUGCCACAAUUCAAUUCGGGCCAAGGCCCAUGUACCCCUUUGUUUCCCUAAACUACCCCUCCUUAGUGGCUCCCUAUAUAUAGGCUCCCACCUCCCCCUUCAUUAGAAAAGGAAUGAACUUGAGAGAAUUAGGCUCAUGCCUCCACCAUCCCUUUGGGAUUAGGGUAACCCCCUCCUUAGAUUACCAAAAUCUAUUGUACAAGGCACUCCUUAUAUGAUUAGUCUCUCACACUUGUGAUUCUA